rnacentral:tRNA from 1 species
GGGCGGUUACCCAAGUGGCCAACGGGAGCUGACUGUAAAUUAGCUGGCAGAUGCCUUCGGAGGUUCGAAUCCUUCACCGCCCA